rnacentral:rRNA from 1 species
CCUACGGGUGGCAGCAGUGGGGAAUAUUGGGCAAUGGAGGAAACUCUGACCCAGCAACGCCGCGUGAAGGAUGAAGGUUUUCGGAUUGUAAACUUCUGUCGCGAGGGAUGAAGAAUGACGGUACCUCGUAAGAAAGCCCCGGCAAACUACGUGCAAGCAGCCGCGGUAAUACGUAGGGGGCGAGCGUUUUCCGGAAUGACUGGGCGGAAAGGGAGUGUAGGGGGCAUAUUAAGUAUAGUGGGAAAGCCCGCGGAUCAAACGCGGAAUUGCAUAUAAACUUGGUAAGCUGGAGUGCAGGAGAGGUAAGUGGAAUUCCCGGUGUAGCGGUGGAAUGCGUAGAUAGCGGGAGGAACACCAGAGGCGAAGGCGACUUACUGGACUGUAACUGACGCUGAGGCUCGAAAGCGUGGGGAGCAAACAGGAUUAGAUACCCCAGUAGUC